AUAUACAUGCUCAAAAAAUAAAAAUAUAAAAUAAAAACAAAUCGUGUGUCUGACAUCUGAAAAGUAGUUGAGCUUGGAUACUCUUCUUUGGCUUUAGUUUGUGAGUGCUGUUUCUGUUUUUGUUAUUUUUGUUGCU
rnacentral:ribozyme from 13 species